rnacentral:rRNA from 1 species
UGGCGGCGUGCUAUACAUGCAAGUCGAGCGAGGCCUUCGGGCCUAGCGGCGGACGGGUGAGUAACACGUGGGUAACCUGCCUGUAAGACUGGGAUAACUUCGGGAAACCGAAGCUAAUACCGGAUAAUAUUUUUGGUUGCAUGACCGAAAAUUGAAAGGUGGCUUUUAGCUAUCACUUACAGAUGGACCCGCGGCGCAUUAGCUAGUUGGUGAGGUAACGGCUCACCAAGGCAACGAUGCGUAGCCGACCUGAGAGGGUGAUCGGCCACACUGGGACUGAGACACGGCCCAGACUCCUACGGGAGGCAGCAGUAGGGAAUCUUCCGCAAUGGACGAAAGUCUGACGGAGCAACGCCGCGUGAGUGAAGAAGGUUUUCGGAUCGUAAAACUCUGUUGUUAGGGAAGAACAAGUGCCGUUUGAAUAAGGCGGCACCUUGACGGUACCUAACCAGAAAGCCACGGCUAACUACGUGCCAGCAGCCGCGGUAAUACGUAGGUGGCAAGCGUUGUCCGGAAUUAUUGGGCGUAAAGCGCGCGCAGGUGGUUCCUUAAGUCUGAUGUGAAAGCCCACGGCUCAACCGUGGAGGGUCAUUGGGAAACUGGGGAACUUGAGUGCAGAAGAAGGAAAGU